rnacentral:lncRNA from 1 species
AAACAGAGCGCAAGUUUCCUUGUAAGAUGCCAGCAGCCCCUGUGAUCAAGUGAGGGUUGUUUGCUCUUUGGGAACCAAAUAAUUACCUGUCAGCUUUUCAGGCAACGGGCAGAAUCCAGAAAGGCCCUUUUCUCAGAAAUGCAGUUGCCCGUGGAAAACUGCCACUCCCUCACAAGUUCUUAACAGCUGUCAGCCCCAGAGCAAGUAAUUACCCUCAGCCUUCUUGUUGGAUUCCAGUGAUAGUCCCUGCCAGGGGCAGGGAACAGAUGCAAAGCGAAGCACCAGGAGUUGACGCCUCCACGAGCUCUCUGGGUGGUAUCCUCUCCAUGUCCCUCAGGUCUGAUUCCAGGCAGACCUUCGGCAGUGCGUGAAUCAUCCUUCAGGGUAGGCAAAUGCAGAUCAAUAGAGCCCAGCAGAGAAACUUAAGCACCACAAGGGGCUGAGCUGAUGGCCGUUUGCUUUGUCAAGAGAAAUAAGUACCUGGAAGUUCACUAACAUACAGACAAAUCUGCUCAAGUAUAAACUGCCUUCAUUCUUUGUAUGCGUGGCUGAGGUGAGAGCUUUGGCAUAUGUAAGAGGCAAUAUGACAACCAAGGAAUCCAGAGACGGACUAUGGUCUUCAAGAUCUUAUGUCACCACUUCAUGUAACCUGGGACAAGUCAGGCGACUUGUCUGUGCCCUUAGAUUUCCAUCGCUGGAUACCUACCUUCUUCUAACAACAUUUUUACAGUCCACCAAAUUAUUCAUUAGAGAAGGUCGGUAACCCUCAAAUAACGUUAUGUAGGGAACUAAUUACAGUGACUGGAAAGAAUGGUAGGGGGCAAUUUCCAAGGGACUUGAACCUACACUGACGCGGAUUCUUUUAUUUCAUAGAGAUUUGGCAGGAAGAAGGGGCUAAUGGUGAAGAAUUAUCACUACCUCCUAAGUGUAAGCUUGGUAUAUGAAACGACUUUCCCUUUGGCUUAAUGAGUUGAAGAAUCCAUAUCCUAACUCCCUGGGGAUUUUCAGGUGUCCUCUGUUCCCACCCUCUCCCUUGCGCAUGGUAUAAUCUCAAGGCCAUUUCUCUCUGUAGGCAUGGAAAGGACACAGGUGUUGGGACAGGGAUGGGCCAGUCAAGCCCAGAAGUUGUUUACUGCAUCAGCUGAGAGGGCGGGAGGUGAGUAGAGGGCACUGCCUGGCUAGGGUGCCCCUCCGGGGCUAUUCCAGAGAGAAGGCAUCCAGACAUGCAUCCCAGCUGGCCUGAAUCUGUUUCCUCAGUGAUUGAUUUUGCCAUCUGACUCCAGAGGCCUUGCAUGCCAGGGGUAAUAGAGACGUCUUUCAAGAGUGUGCUAAUCCCACUUCCUGGAAGGGUUUCCAAAUACCCCUCUUCACAUUUGUACACUUGGCUCUAGAUCUUUGUGUUGAUAGUCUGAAAGCAUCCUUCAGCGUUACAAUGGCAUGGGGCUUCUAUGUUUUUCUAGAAUGUGAAGGAUCUAGAAACCAUGGAUUUUAUACUCUUUGAUUCCAUGGUGUUAGUGUUGGUGCUUGCCUCUCGCCAUAAUGUAGGCAUUAAUGAACUCUUUUCAUUGUAAGAUUAUAACUACAUCCUUUUGCCCUUCUCUUUCCUCCCUACAAAUCCUCCCAUGUUCCCUCCUUGCUUUCAAUUCAUGACUGCUUUUUCAUCAAUGGUUGUUUCACAAACACACACACACACACACACACACACACACACACACACACACAAAUACUACCAAAUGGUCAGCCCUUAAAAAAAAAAGGUAAUAAUAUAUAGACUGAACAGGUUUUAAUUAUGUAAAAUGUAUAUAUUUUAAAAGUUAUUCUAUUUUUAGUUAUGUAUAUGUAUGCCGGUAUGUGCAGAUGUCUGUAGGUACCUAUGAAAGCAGAAGAGGGUGUUGCAUUCCUUCAGCUAGAGUUACAGGUUGUUGUAACAUCUGACAUAGGUGAUGGGAACUGACUGCAGCAUGGUGAAUCCUCUUCUCCCUUGCGGCUGCUAGCCUGCCUGCAGGAAAACUGGAAGUCCCAACUAUUCCGCUCAGCUCAUUGGCUGCUUGCAUCUUUAUUGAUCGAUCAAGAACACAUUGGGGAACAGGACCUUCAGUGUUCACAGGCAGAUUCCAGAUCAAAGCAUCAGAACCACUCCCAAGGGCCCGCAAUGACGCACUUCCUCCAACAAGGCCACGCCUCCUAAUAGCGCCACCCUCUGGGCCAAGCAUAUUCAAACCACCACAUGUGCGAUAAUUUUGUCCAACUAUAGACCUAGUGUUCUGGGGACACUAAGCUAGGCAAGGCUAAAAUAUGGUUCUAAUAGGUUAAGAGUAUUGGAUGCAGUUCUGACUCAAUGAUGAUUUUACUGGCACACGGCCCCCUCAUACGUGGAGGAUCAUCUGUUUGUGUUUGUAUACUUCUCACUUAGUAACUAUCAGAAGGGCGGGGAACAGAGUGGUGCUCACUCUCAUGCUCUCGGCAAUUGACCGUGUGAAGUUCUGAACAUGCUGCAGGGGGUUUUGAAUGGCGGCUUGCAGGAACUACAUCACAGGCUUUUAGUCAUUUCCAGGAAGGGGAGACCUCCAGGUCAGCAUGUAAAGAGCCAAUAGGUAUUAAAAGAGCAGUAGGGGAGAAACACUUGACUCCAUCUUUAGAUCUUUAGAGCUGGAGCUAACUUUCAUUGCUGAAUAGCAAUUUUGAUUAAAUUAGCUUUGUGUCUUCUGUAUUGAAGUAAUCCUACGAUGCUUAAACUGCUUAAGCCAUGUUCACUAUCUACCUAUAAAUAAAUAAUAAAAAAUAAGUUCCAUG